GACGUAGGGCGCGAGCGUUGUCCGGAUUUAUUGGGCGUAAAGGGUGCGUAGGCGGCGGAGUAAGUUGGGUGUGAAAUCCCGGGGCUCAACCUCGGAAUGGCAUUCAAUACUGCUUCGCUAGAGUACUGGAGAGGAGGCUGGAAUUUACGGUGUAGCAGUGAAAUGCGUAGAUAUCGUAAGGAAGGCCGGUGGCGAAAGCGAGCCUCUGGACAGUUACUGACGCUGAUGCACGAAGGCCAGGGGAGCAAACGGG
rnacentral:rRNA from 1 species